UCUACUCUGAUCUGAUAUAUGCUUUUGGUUUGGAUAUUGUAAUUUAUUGAGGAAAUCUGUCAUUCUCCUCUUGCUCAUAGUAAGCCCACAGGUUUGCUUGACUAAACACAUGGCUGCCGGUUUUUAGCUUGAUGUUGCCCAUGGUCUUGGUACAGAAGGAUAUAUGCAGAAGGAAUAUGCAAUGUACCCAACUUUUGAUUGAGAAUUAGUUUUCUUUUUUCAUCAUUUAAGCUUAUAGCUUAUCACAAACCAAAAUUCAAAGUCCAACAACUGGAUCAAGUUGCACCCAUUUGCAGCUCUCUAUCUCUCUCAGAAAAAUGAAUGCUUCAUCAAUUGUUUCAGCUUGUUCUGUCAAAGAAGAGAUGUUACUCUCUUUUGCAAUCUCAGUUCUUGUUUUCAUCUAUCUUUCCUUGGUUGUCAUGGAGUCUCAAUGGAACAACAAAGGAGUUUCUUGGUUGCCUCAAGAUUGCUGCUUCCCAGUGCCUAAAAUUUCAAACAAAAUGGGUUUAGUAAUUGAUUCUAAUGUGUCAAAUGUGAUGGAGAUUGAAGGCUUCUUUCCUCAGCAACUUGCUUGCAGCAGAUCAGAGCCAUAAGAAAAAAAAGAAAUAAGGCUUCAACAUAUGCUUUGUAAGGUUUAUUCAAAGUUUGGAUUAAGGUUCAAUGUGAAUUAAAUUUUUAUAAAGAAAAACUUAUUACCAUCCAAUGGAUAGCUUCAGAUUUUUUUCAUUUUUACUGCUGAUUAUAAUUAGUCAUAAUUAAUUUGUUCUUAGUCCAUUGAUUAGCAAGGAUUCAUUCAUUCAACUAAUAAAUUUAAUUUUAUGUGUUUGUUAAAUAAACCCAUUUAUAUGAUUAUAAUUUUAAUGAUACAAUCAUUUCAGUGGUUCCUAGUUUUAGUUAAAAUUUGAUUAUGCAUAAAUUAAUAAUUAAGCAAAAGUAACAUUCAUUAUGAUUCAAAAAAAAUAUUGAAGUAUGCAAAUUUUACAUUCUUUAUGAUCCAAAGCACACGAACACGAAUUUUAAUUCAAUUAAUUUAUAUAAUUAUUAUUUAAAAAUAAUAUCUCAUAAAUUUGAAAUUUAAAAUAUAAUAUUUACGAUCUCUUCUCUUACCCUUAAUUUGUGGUAAAGCCGCUUAUAUACUUGAUCCAGGCUCUUUCACAAGAGAGGAUUUAAAUUUUAUGAUUUUAACAAAUAGUUUGCUGUAUCU